rnacentral:rRNA from 1 species
UACGGGGGGGGCAAGCGUUGUUCGGAAUUACUGGGCGUAAAGGGGACGUAGGCGGCCAACUAAGUCCGACGUGAAAUCCCAAGGCUUAACCUUGGAACUGCGUCGGAUACUGGAUGGCUUGAAUUCGGGAGAGGGAUGCAGAAUUCCAGGUGUAGCGGUGAAAUGCGUAGAUAUCGAGAGGAACACCUGCGGCGAAGGCGGGUUGCUGGGCUGACACUGACGCUGAGGCGCGAAAGCCAGGGGAGCGAACGGG